UACGGAGGGGGCUAGCGUUGUUCGGAAUUACUGGGCGUAAAGCGCGCGUAGGCGGACUUUCAAGUCAGGGGUGAAAUCCCGAGGCUCAACCUCGGAACUGCCUUUGAUACUGUAAGUCUUGAGUCCGAGAGAGGUGAGUGGAAUUCCUAGUGUAGAGGUGAAAUUCGUAGAUAUUGGGAAGAACACCGGUGGCGAAGGCGACUGACUGGACAAGUAUUGACGCUGAGGUGCGAAAGCGUGGGGAGCAAACAGG
rnacentral:rRNA from 1 species